AACGAACGCUGGCGGCAGGCUUAACACAUGCAAGUCGAACGCAUCCUUCGGGGUGAGUGGCAGACGGGUGAGUAACGCGUGGGAACGUGCCCUUCAGUUCGGGAUAACCCAGGGAAACUUGGGCUAAUACCGGAUACGUGCGAGAGCAGAAAGAUUUAUCGCUGAAGGAUCGGCCCGCGUCUGAUUAGCUAGUUGGUGGGGUAAUGGCCCACCAAGGCGACGAUCAGUAGCUGGUCUGAGAGGAUGAUCAGCCACAUUGGGACUGAGACACGGCCCAAACUCCUACGGGAGGCGGCAGUGGGGAAUAGUGGACAAUGGGCGCAAGCCUGAUCCAGCCAUGCCGCGUGAGUGAUGAAGGCCUUAGGGUUGUAAAGCUCUUUCGUCCGGGACGAUAAUGACGGUACCGGAAGAAGAAGCCCCGGCUAACUUCGUGCCAGCAGCCGCCGUAA
rnacentral:rRNA from 1 species